AGAUUAACAAUGAAGGUAAAUAUUCAGAGAUUCAAACCUUGGUACAUGUAGAAUCACUGGAUUCAAAAUACAUGAAAAAUAAAUCAAAUCUGAUUGUUCAACGCAUACUGAGUACUUGUGAUAUCACUGUUUCAGCAAUAAAACAUAACCAAAACAUUUGUGCUGAUUUGACUGGAACUCAUGUACAGCAAGUGCUGAGUUUAAUUUUGAUGAGAGUCUUUGUGCUUUGAAUGAUCCUUGCAACACUUCAUAUAACAACAAACAACACCUCAUCC
rnacentral:lncRNA from 1 species